GCCUGGGUGGCUCAGUUGGUUGAGCAUCUGACUUUAGCUCAGGUCAGGAUCUCAUGGUUCAUGGGUUUGAGCCCCAUGUUGGGCU
rnacentral:tRNA from 1 species